CAUGACUGCACGCUGUCAGCUAACUUAAGACUUCUUUCUACCUCCACCCACCUGCUAGGGCAGGACCCACGCUCUCUAUACUGCCCCCUGCAGCUGUGGAGUUGACCCUACCUCCUACUCAACGUCAGAAGCAAAGUAAAGGAAAUAAAAAAGGAGAAAAGAUCAAUCUUGCCAUCAUGGAACCUUCAUGUGGUGGAACCCUGGAUUCACUGAAGUCCCCGUGUUUUAUCCCAGCAGUGAUUGACAGGUGUGUUGGUGGAGGACUUAGGGAAGUUUAUGAAUUGAAAAUAUGCAUUUAUCGUCACCAUAUUUAAAGAAAUGGAUUUUGGGACCGUUUGGACCUGCUGAUGAACAUUUCAGGUAGCUGGGAUAGGCUGUGUGGAGACAGAUGGUGCAGAAGCACAUGGCCAAAUAAAAUUGAAUUGAAUAGAAGAUGGCUGGAUGGAUUUAACUGUUUUGGUUUUAAUUUGUGUUUCUGUUUUUUUACUUCUUUUCUUUGUUGAGCACUUGGCAUUGAAUCAUGUUGUUCCAAUAAACCAGCCUACUAGAGAUGCUCGAAAGACCAGUAAAGGAGUUUACCUGAGUCACACCUGUGACGGCAUCAGCUCAACUGCUGGCAGGUAACAUCCACAUCAAAAAUGACUCAGGUGAACCGGAGACGUGUUAAAGGUGUGCUAAUCCCCCAACAUUAAGCCCUCCAAACGGAGAGUUAUUAAAAAAAAAGGAUUUUCAAAGAUUUUACUCCCACUUGAUGACAUCAUCAAUAGUCGCUGGUCAUCUAUGUUAACGCACAGCUGCCAGCGCUCAGAAAUACAUAACAUCAGUUUUCUAACUUAGAAAAGUCACGCUACAACCAAAAUGUAUUACUUACAUUUACAUGUAGACGUCUGUGUUCAGUCUAAGGCGCCAACUUUAUGUUUUCUCAGUGACUCAGUAAAUGUAUUGAUCCUUACAAAUGUUGACUAAAUGUAUUCAUGAAAUCAUCAUCUGUACAGUGUAACCCCUAGCCAUCAGACUAAGUGGGGACACCUGGCCCCGCCCUUAUUGUGAAAGGGUCAAUGUGUAUAUAAGUUCCAGGUCAGUGGGUGCACUUCCUGCUUGCUACUUCCUGCUUCCUGCUCUCAGCUGUUGCUGUGGCCACACCAGGACGCCUGAUACAUGUCUUGAUACGAUCAUAUUUGGAAACCUCAACGCUUCCAUUUCUCUAACCCCAAAGAGACCUGCUCAUCGGUCAGGUUUUUUUUUGUGUAUUCUUUGAUCUGCAACUUGAUGGCGAGCUACCCAAAUCUGAGAUCCUGAUACUUCCACCUUCAAUAACAACUCCUCAGCUGCAGCAAAACUCAACUACAUCAUCAUCACUAAUAGACUUUUGGAAACAACUUAAUAGGACUCAGACCCAUAUCCAAGUUACUUUUGUUUUUUGUAUUGUUUAAAUGUCUUAUUUUCUGUUAAUACAAUCGAUUGCAUUUUA